CGGCCUAGGAAAUGCAAAUUGUGUGGAAAGCGAGGACAAAAUCAUGAUAGCAGAAAUUGCCCUCUAAAGUUGUCAAGUGAUUCAAUGGAACAAGAUAAUAUUAAUGAAGUCAGUGAUGAUUUAGAAGAUUCCUUCGAGGAAGAUGAAAUUGUCACUAUUGCGUGAAGUUUGAUCAAGGUUGACAGAGCAAAUCAUAGCACUAUUGAUAAGAAGAGGUUGAAGUUGUUAUGUAUUUGUGUUAAUUAUCCAGAAUGUUGUAACAUCAUAUGUUGGUUGUCUCAGUUUGGUAACUUAGGACGUGGGCAAUAUGAGUGAUUUGUGCUUGGCGUGUCGGUUGUCUCAGUUUGGAAAUCAUAGCAUAGUAGAUGUAAUCUUAUUUGCAAUGUUUAUACUGCUGAGAAAAUCAAACUGCUAUGAGUUUCUAAGAAGAGUGACUGCUGUUCUCUUGUUUAUGCAAUAUAUGGAUUGGUAAAUUGGUGA